rnacentral:rRNA from 1 species
UACGAAGGGGGCUAGCGUUGUUCGGAAUUACUGGGCGUAAAGCGCACGUAGGCGGGUAUUUAAGUCGGGGGUGAAAUCCCGGAGCUCAACUCCGGAACUGCCUUUGAUACUGGGUACCUAGAGUAUGGAAGAGGUAAGUGGAAUUCCGAGUGUAGAGGUGAAAUUCGUAGAUAUUCGGAGGAACACCAGUGGCGAAGGCGGCUUACUGGUCCAUUACUGACGCUGAGGUGCGAAAGCGUGGGGAGCAAACAGG